rnacentral:rRNA from 1 species
UACGGAGGGUGCGAGCGUUGUCCGGAAUCAUUGGGCGUAAAGGGCGCGUAGGUGGCCCGGUCAGUUCGUGGUGAAAGCGCGGGGCUCAACCCUGCGUCGGCCAUGAAUACUGCCGCGGCUGGAGCACUGUAGAGGCAGGCGGAAUUCCGGGUGUAGCGGUGGAAUGCGUAGAGAUCCGGAAGAACACCGGUGGCGAAGGCGGCCUGCUGGGCAGUUAGCUGACACUGAGGCGCGACAGCGUGGGGAG